UGGAAGCGUCUGGAAAGGCGCGCGAUACAGGGUGACAGCCCCGUACACAAAAAUGCACAUGCUGUGAGCUCGAUGAGUAGGGCGGGACACGUGGUAUCCUGUCUGAAUAUGGGGGGACCAUCCUCCAAGGCUAAAUACUCCUGACUGACCGAUAGUGAACCAGUACCGUGAGGGAAAGGCGAAAAGAACCCCGGCGAGGGGAGUGAAAAAGAACCUGAAACCGUGUACGUACAAGCAGUGGGAGCACGCUUAGGCGUGUGACUGCGUACCUUUUGUAUAAUGGGUCAGCGACUUAUAUUCUGUAGCAAGGUUAACCGAAUAGGGGAGCCGAAGGGAAACCGAGUCUUAACUGGGCGUUAAGUUGCAGGGUAUAGACCCGAAACCCGGUGAUCUAGCCAUGGGCAGGUUGAAGGUUGGGUAACACUAACUGGAGGACCGAACCGACUAAUGUUGAAAAAUUAGCGGAUGACUUGUGGCUGGGGGUGAAAGGCCAAUCAAACCGGGAGAUAGCUGGUUCUCCCCGAAAGCUAUUUAGGUAGCGCCUCGUGAAUU
rnacentral:rRNA from 1 species